CAAAAAUGCUAAAUGCAGCAUAUGCCUAAAAGUUUUGAAAACUUCGGGAAACACAACAAAUUUACAAACACAUUUGAAGCAAAAACAUUCAUCUAUUUUGAAACACUUAACUGAUGACGGAUUUGAUUACGAUGACCCACAGACAUCUAAGAAAAGAAGCAAAACUGUUGGAAGUAGUCCUACACUAAGCCAAGAUGAGGGAAAGUUAAAUCUGCAAGAUAGUGCUCACCAUUCUUCAGCUUCAACUAUAACAAAUCCGGAAUUUGAGUCAGAUUCAGAACCAAGUACUAGUGCAGGAAAUAAAAACGUGAGUUCGGGAUUCCAGCAGACUACAAUUUCGUCUACAUUCAAAAACAUUGCAUUAUACCAAGACGGUGGCUCUAAAAAUGUGAAGGUGACGGAUGCAGUAGUGAAAUUUAUUGUUCAGGACAAUUUUCCAUUCAGUACUGUGGAAGGAAAGGGUUUUGACGCCUUGUUGAAG